rnacentral:rRNA from 1 species
GAUGAACGCUAGCUACAGGCUUAACACAUGCAAGUCGAGGGGAAACGACAUCGAAAGCUUGCUUUUGAUGGGCGUCGACCGGCGCACGGGUGAGUAACGCGUAUCCAACCUGCCCACCACUUGGGGAUAACCUUGCGAAAGUAAGACUAAUACCCAAUGAUAUCUCUAGAGGACAUCUGAAAGAGAUUAAAGAUUUAUCGGUGAUUGAUGGGGAUGCGUCUGAUUAGCUUGUUGGCGGGGUAACGGCCCACCAAGGCUACGAUCAGUAGGGGUUCUGAGAGGAAGGUCCCCCACAUUGGAACUGAGACACGGUCCAAACUCCUACGGGAGGCAGCAGUGAGGAAUAUUGGUCAAUGGGCGAGAGCCUGAACCAGCCAAGUAGCGUGCAGGAUGACGGCCCUAUGGGUUGUAAACUGCUUUUAUAAGGGAAUAAAGUGAGCCUCGUGAGGCUUUUUGCAUGUACCUUAUGAAUAAGGACCGGCUAAUUCCGUGCCAGCCGCCGCGGUAA